AGAGUUUGAUCCUGGCUCAGAGUGAACGCUGGCGGCGUGCCUAACACAUGCAAGUCGAACGAUGAUGGAGAGCUUGCUCUCUUGAUUAGUGGCGCACGGGUGAGUAUACCAUAGAUAAUGUACCUCUUAGUUUGGGAUAGCCACUGGAAACGGUGAUUAAUACCAGAUACUCCUUCUCGUUAUAAGACGAGUCGGGAAAGUUUUUUCGCUAAGAGAUCAGUCUAUGUCCUAUCAGCUAGUUGGUGAGGUAAUGGCUCACCAAGGCUAUGACGGGUAUCUGGUUUGAGAGGAUGAUCAGACACACUGGAACUGAGACACGGUCCAGACUCCUACGGGAGGCAGCAGUGAGGAAUAUUGCACAAUGGAGGAAACUCUGAUGCAGCAACGCCGCGUGGAGGAUGACGCAUUUCGGUGUGUAAACUCCUUUUAAGAGGGAAGAUAAUGACGGUACCUCUUGAAUAAGCACCGGCUAACUCCGUGCCAGCAGCCGCGGUAAUACGGAGGGUGCGAGCGUUGUUCGGAUUUAUUGGGCGUAAAGCGCGUGUAGGCGGUUUUAUAAGUCUGAUGUGAAAGCCCCGGGCUCAACCUGGGAAGUGCAUUGGAUACUGUAAGACUUGAAUACGGGAGAGGGCAGUGGAAUUCCUAGUGUAGGAGUGAAAUCCGUAGAUAUUAGGAGGAACACCGGUGGCGAAGGCGGCUGCCUGGACCGAUAUUGACGCUGAGACGCGAAAGCGUGGGUAGCAAACAGGAUUAGAUACCCUGGUAGUCC
rnacentral:rRNA from 1 species